UGUUAUAGUGACAUUUCUGCUGACGGCAUUGAUCGUUGGAAAAAGUCGUUGGUGAGCCGAAAAAACAAAAAGACUAAAAUGCAAAAUCCACUACACGGGAAAACAGAUGCAUGCCACCUUGGGCACUGGUGUUACGCCACUCCAUACAGCGCUGGCGGAAUAAGCAAAGCGGCUGAAUCGACUAAUAAAAUGGAUAUGCUUGAGAUGGUGGAGUAUCCAGCUUGGAAAUGGCGGAGAUCAAACGUCCCUGUAUUUUAAAAUGAUAAUAGUUCCAACAAAAAUAUGGAUGAUGUGAAAACUAUGUAAGACAAUAAAUGCAAUAUAAUAGCAAUAAUAGCAACUUUCCUGUGUUGGCUU